rnacentral:rRNA from 1 species
UACGUAGGGUGCGAGCGUUGUCCGGAAUUAUUGGGCGUAAAGAGCUCGUAGGCGGUUUGUCACGUCUGCUGUGAAAUCCCGAGGCUCAACCUCGGGCCUGCAGUGGGUACGGGCAGACUGGAGUGCGGUAGGGGAGAAUGGAAUUCCUGGUGUAGCGGUGAAAUGCGCAGAUAUCAGGAGGAACACCGGUGGCGAAGGCGGUUCUCUGGGCAUUACCUGACGCUGAGGAGCGAAAGUGUGGGGAGCGAACAGG